GACGAACGCUGGCGGCAUGCCUAACACAUGCAAGUCGGACGGAGCAGGACUGAAGGUAGCGAUAUCGGAUGGCUUGCUUAGUGGCGAGCGGGUGAGUAACGCGUGAGCAACCUGCCUUGUACACCGGGAUAACAGAGGGAAACUUCUGCUAAUACGGGAUAACACCCUAAAAUGGCAUCAUUUCUAGGUCAAAGCGAUUAGCGGUACGAGAUGGGCUCGCGUCCCAUUAGCUAGUUGGUGAGAUAACAGCUCACCAAGGCGACGAUGGGUAGCCGACUUGAGAGAGUGAUCGGCCACACUGGAACUGAGACACGGUCCAGACUCCUACGGGAGGCAGCAGUGGGGAAUAUUGGGCAAUGGAGGCAACUCUUACCCAGCAAUGCCGCGUGAAUGAAGAAGGUCUUCGGAUUGUAAAGUUCUUUUAUUGGCGACGAAACAAAUGACGGUAGCCAAUGAAUAAGCCCCGGCUAACUACGUGCCAGCAGCCGCGGUAAUACGUAGGGGGCAGGCGUUGUCCGGAAUGACUGGGCGUAAAGGGUGUGUAGGCGGUUUGUCAAGUUGAAAGUGCAAUCCCCGGGCUUAACUCGGGAACUGCUUUCAAAACUGAUAGACUUGAGUGCAGUAGAGAAAGGCGGAAUUCCUAGUGUAGCGGUGGAAUGCGUAGAUAUUAGGAGGAACACCAGCGGCGAAGGCGGCUUUUUGGACUGCAACUGACGCUGAGGCACGAAAGUGUGGGGAGCAAA
rnacentral:rRNA from 1 species